CAGACUAGAGUGCGAUAGGAUCUACAUUCUAGUCCUGGCUUUGACCCUGACCUGCUGUGACCCUGAUGUGAGAGGGCCUUCCUUCUUUUCCAGUCCUGAAGCUCCUGCAUUCCACGGUUCGCUGCUCUUUGGAGGAAGGGUGCCCAGCAAGUUCAGCAGAGGCCUCUCCUGUCCAGAGGGGUCUCACUGUCCAGGCUGUGGUUUUAUAGUGGCCAUAAAUGCAACACACAGGAGCCGCGUGGUCUGCAGCACUGAUCACCAAGGAUUGCAGGGACUCUCACCUAUGGAGAAGACAGGUGUUGGUAGGAGGUAUGCUGGGAAGAGCUUUGCUAUAUCUCCGGAAGGAAGAAGAUUGUUUCCCCUCGGGGGAUGGCACUUUCAACAUGUGGGAGCUUGUCGGGUCACAGAAGAAUGACAGGUCACGGGAAGUCCUUCAUAGUGUUUCUGUGAAUAGCAGACUGUCACAGGUUGAGUCCCUUGGAACAUAGAUGCUGAGAUUUGCAUUAAGGAAGUUCAUUGAGGGGAGGUGAUGAUCUUUUGUGAACAAUACCUGUGAGUUGCGAAGGGAACAGGAUUUGGUGGAAGAAGAAAUCGCAGCAGAGGCCUCAGGUUGACUCUUAAGAACUGUCCACAUUGAGGCAUGAGGACAGGUCUUUGUACCCCUGCAUGAACCCAUCAUUGGGUGCAAGCUCUCUCCAAGAAGAAGGAAUGGCCUUAGGUGGGCCAUCUCCCUCUGGUCCAGAAUAACUCCUGGAGCUGUGAUACGUCCAGAUGGAGGAAUGAGCACCUCAUUCCCAAAGAGGAAUCUGGGCGGCACCCACUGCAGGGGUGAAAUUAUCAGAGCCAAGAGGCUACUCUAGAUGGGUGCUACUCUAGAUGACUGUAGACUGUUACAAGUCCUCGAUAAGAUGAAGAGCUUGCAUCAAAAUUUAAAGCAACACAAU
rnacentral:lncRNA from 1 species